rnacentral:rRNA from 1 species
UACGAAGGGGGCUAGCGUUGUUCGGAAUUACUGGGCGUAAAGCGCACGUAGGCGGUUUUGUAAGUCAGGGGUGAAAUCCCGGGGCUCAACCUCGGAACUGCCUUUGAUACUGCAAGUCUUGAGUCCGGAAGAGGUGAGUGGAAUUCCUAGUGUAGAGGUGAAAUUCGUAGAUAUUAGGAAGAACACCAGUGGCGAAGGCGGCUCACUGGUCCGGUACUGACGCUGAGGUGCGAAAGCGUGGGGAGCAAACAGG